rnacentral:rRNA from 1 species
CCCGAAGUAUCCUGAAUCUUUCGCAUUGUUAAUCAUACAAAUGCAUAUAAUAAACAUAAAAUUCAUAGAUAAUCAUGCCAUUAUAUAAUUCCGAAAAAUUAACGCAUUGUAUUUCAUAUAAAUCUAUCAGCACUUUAACAAAUUAAUGACAUUUAUUCUGUGUUAAAAUGCAAGCAAAUUAAUUUGAAUAAACUAUAAGCCAUAUUUUAUGAUAAAUAUAUUAGAUACUAAUAGAUUACAAUGUCCUUAUAUGGAAAAAAUGCACACUAUUAUUACAGUAUUUUUUAAAUACCAUAACUCUAAUGAUGAAUUUUCCAUAACGGAUAUUCAGGUUCAUCGGGC